CCUACGGGAGGCAGCAGUGAGGAAUAUUGGUCAAUGGACGAGAGUCUGAACCAGCCAAGUAGCGUGAAGGAUGACUGCCCUAUGGGUUGUAAACUUCUUUUAUAUGGGAAUAAAAUGUUUCACGUGUUGGAUUUUGUAUGUACCAUAUGAAUAAGGAUCGGCUAACUCCGUGCCAGCAGCCGCGGUAAUACGGAGGAUCCGAGCGUUAUCCGGAUUUAUUGGGUUUAAAGGGAGCGUAGGUGGAUUGUUAAGUCAGUUGUGAAAGUUUGCGGCUCAACCGUAAAAUUGCAGUUGAAACUGGCAGUCUUGAGUACAGUAGAGGUGAGCGGAAUUCGUGGUGUAGCGGUGAAAUGCUUAGAUAUCACGAAGAACUCCGAUUGCGAAGGCAGUUCACUGGACUGCAACUGACACUGAGGCUCGAAAGUGUGGGUAUCAAACAGGAUUAGAUACCCCUGUAGUC
rnacentral:rRNA from 1 species